UGUUGCGGUGAAUACGUUCCCGGGUCUUGUACACACCGCCCGUCAAACCAUGAAAGUGACCAACACCCGGAGGUAGGUGCCCAAGGUAUGAUUGAUAAUUGGGGUG
rnacentral:rRNA from 1 species